rnacentral:rRNA from 1 species
UGGGGAAUUGUUCACAAUGGGCGCAAGCCUGAUGACGCAACGCCGCGUGGGGGAUGAAGUAUUUCGGUAUGUAAACUUCGAAAGAAUAGGAAGAAUAAAUGACGGUACUAUUUAUAAGGUCCGGCUAACUACGUGCCAGCAGCCGCGGUAAUACGUAGGGACCAAGCGUUGUUCGGAUUUACUGGGCGUAAAGGGCGCGUAGGCGGCAUGACAAGUCACUUGUGAAAUCUCUGGGCUUAACCCAGAACGGCCAAGUGAUACUGUCGCGCUAGAGUGCAGAAGGGGCAAUCGGAAUUCUUGGUGUAGCGGUGAAAUGCGUAGAUAUCAAGAGGAACACCUGAGGUGAAGACGGGUUGCUGGGCUGACACUGACGCUGAGGCGCGAAAGCCAGGGGAGCAAACGGGAUUAGAUACCCCAGUAGUCCCUGAGCGGGCUGGCAAGGCGCAU